AUGCUAGCCCAUGGUUCUGCACCAGCUUUUAUUAUUUACUUAUUUUUUGGAGUGGUUUUGAAACAAUGCAGGGUUGCAUUUUUAGCAGAGCUGAUUUCAAGAAGAUUUUUUGAACAAAAUUGCAACCACUUUGGAGAUGUUUUGGUUCAACAUGGCACAAGAAAAAAUAAUGGCAAUUUUGGACAGUUUUUCUCUUACAUUGUAGGCUGCGGUUUCCAGCGAUGCAGUGCGGGGCUCUUUGUGUUGUUACUUCAUGGUGUAGGCAUUGGCCAUUUGAAAGAAAGAAGAUGA